rnacentral:rRNA from 1 species
ACUCAAAGGAAUUGACGGGGGCCCGCACAAGCAGCGGAGCGUGUGGUUUAAUUCGAGGCUACCCGAAGAACCUUACCUGGGGUUGACAUGGUACUGAACGAGCGCGAAAGCGUAAGGGUCGCAAGACAGUAUCACAGGUGCUGCAUGGCUGUCGUCAGCUCGUGUCGUGAGAUGUUCGGUUAAGUCCGGUAACGAGCGCAACCCUCGGUGGUAGUUACAAGUGUCUACCGCGACUGCCCGGUGAAACUGGGAGGAAGGUGGGGAUGACGUCAAGUCAGCAUGGCCUAUAUCUCCAGGGCGACACACACGCUACAAUGGUCGGUACAGUCGGUUGCCAAGCCGCGAGGCGGAGCCAAUCCGGCAAAACCGGUCUCAGUUCGGAUUGCAGGCUGCAACUCGCCUGCAUGAAGGUGGAGUUGCUAGUAAACGCGCAUCAGCCAAGGCGCGUUGAAUACGUUCCCGGGCCUUGUACACACCGCCCGU